GGUGAAUUUUAGAGAAAAAAUGAGAGGAAGCUCGUAGUUGACCAUCAAACCUAUCUCAAGGUCGAUGAUCAGAGACAAACUUCGAUCGACAGCGAAGCGUGCAAAACCCAGCUAGGUUUCCAGCCGACUUAAAACUCAAGUCAAGACAUAUCUUCAUAAAUACUCCUUGCCGACUUUUAACCUAAUACUUAUGUGCUCUGCCAUUGUUCUAGGCAAAAGACGCUUUCUUACUUUCUAGUUUUCCACGGCAAACAACCUUUAGAAUUUUAGUAGAUUUGGUGAGAAGAUCCAAG
rnacentral:lncRNA from 1 species